CACUAUCGUUAACUGAAUACAUAGGUUAACGAGGCGAACCGGGGGAACUGAAACAUCUAAGUACCCCGAGGAAAAGAAAUCAACCGAGAUUCCCCCAGUAGCGGCGAGCGAACGGGGAGCAGCCCGGAGUCUGAAUCAGCUUGUGUGUUAGUGGAACGGUCUGGAAAGUCCGACGGUACAGGGUGAUAGUCCCGUACACGAAAACACACUUGCUGUGAACUCGAAGAGUAGGGCGGGACACGUGGUAUCCUGUCUGAAUAUGGGGGGACCAUCCUCCAAGGCUAAAUACUCCUGACUGACCGAUAGUGAACCAGUACCGUGAGGGAAAGGCGAAAAGAACCCCGGCGAGGGGAGUGAAAAAGAACCUGAAACCGUGUACGUACAAGCAGUGGGAGCACCUUCGGGUGUGACUGCGUACCUUUUGUAUAAUGGGUCAGCGACUUAUAUUCUGUAGCAAGGUUAACCGUAUAGGGGAGCCGAAGGGAAACCGAGUCUUAACUGGGCGUUAAGUUGCAGGGUAUAGACCCGAAACCCGGUGAUCUAGCCAUGGGCAGGUUGAAGGUUGGGUAACACUAACUGGAGGACCGAACCGACUAAUGUUGAAAAAUUAGCGGAUGACCUGUGGCUGGGGGUGAAAGGCCAAUCAAACCGGGAGAUAGCUGGUUCUCCCCGAAAGCUAUUUAGGUAGCGCCUCGUGAACUCAUCUUCGGGGGUAGAGCACUGUUUCGGCUAGGGGGCCAUCCCGGCUUACCAACCCGAUGCAAACUACGAAUACCGAAGAAUGUUAUCACGGGAGACACACGGCGGGUGCUAACGUCCGUCGUGAAGAGGGAAACAACCCAGACCGCCAGCUAAGGUCCCAAAGUCAUGGUUAAGUGGGAAACGAUGUGGGAAGGCACAGACAGCCAGGAUGUUGGCUUAGAAGCAGCCAUCAUUUAAAGAAAGCGUAAUAGCUCACUGGUCGAGUCGGCCUGCGCGGAAGAUGUAACGGGGCUAAACCAUGCACCGAAGCUGCGGCAGCGACACUUAUGUGUUGUUGGGUAGGGGAGCGUUCUGUAAGCCGUUGAAGGUGUGCUGUGAGGCAUGCUGGAGGUAUCAGAAGUGCGAAUGCUGACAUAAGUAACGAUAAAGCGGGUGAAAAGCCCGCUCGCCGGAAGACCAAGGGUUCCUGUCCAACGUUAAUCGGGGCAGGGUGAGUCGACCCCUAAGGCGAGGCCGAAAGGCGUAGUCGAUGGGAAACAGGUUAAUAUUCCUGUACUUGGUGUUACUGCGAAGGGGGGACGGAGAAGGCUAUGUCAGCCGGGCGACGGUUGUCCCGGUUUAAGCAUGUAGGCGGAGGUUCCAGGUAAAUCCGGUACCUUGUUAACGCUGAGGUGUGAUGACGAGGCACUACGGUGCUGAAGUGAUAAAUGCCCUGCUUCCAGGAAAAGCCUCUAAGCAUCAGGUAACACGAAAUCGUACCCCAAACCGACACAGGUGGUCAGGUAGAGAAUACCAAGGCGCUUGAGAGAACUCGGGUGAAGGAACUAGGCAAAAUGGUGCCGUAACUUCGGGAGAAGGCACGCUGAUGUGUAGGUGAAGCCCCUGCGGGCGGAGCUGAAAUCAGUCGAAGAUACCAGCUGGCUGCAACUGUUUAUUAAAAACACAGCACUGUGCAAACACGAAAGUGGACGUAUACGGUGUGACGCCUGCCCGGUGCCGGAAGGUUAAUUGAUGGGGUUAGCGGCAACGCGAAGCUCUUGAUCGAAGCCCCGGUAAACGGCGGCCGUAACUAUAACGGUCCUAAGGUAGCGAAAUUCCUUGUCGGGUAAGUUCCGACCUGCACGAAUGGCGUAAUGAUGGCCAGGCUGUCUCCACCCGAGACUCAGUGAAAUUGAACUCGCUGUGAAGAUGCAGUGUACCCGCGGCAAGACGGAAAGACCCCGUGAACCUUUACUAUAGCUUGACACUGAACACUGGUCCUUGAUGUGUAGGAUAGGUGGGAGGCUUUGAAGCGUGGACGCCAGUCUGCGUGGAGCCAUCCUUGAAAUACCACCCUUUAAUGGCUGGUGUUCUAACGUAGACCCGUGAUCCGGGUUGCGGACAGUGUCUGGUGGGUAGUUUGACUGGGGCGGUCUCCUCCCAAAGAGUAACGGAGGAGCACGAAGGUUGGCUAAUCCUGGUCGGACAUCAGGAGGUUAGUGCAAUGGCAUAAGCCAGCUUGACUGCGAGCGUGACGGCGCGAGCAGGUGCGAAAGCAGGUCAUAGUGAUCCGGUGGUUCUGAAUGGAAGGGCCAUCGCUCAACGGAUAAAAGGUACUCCGGGGAUAACAGGCUGAUACCGCCCAAGAGUUCAUAUCGACGGCGGUGUUUGGCACCUCGAUGUCGGCUCAUCACAUCCUGGGGCUGAAGUAGGUCCCAAGGGUAUGGCUGUUCGCCAUUUAAAGUGGUACGCGAGCUGGGUUUAGAACGUCGUGAGACAGUUCGGUCCCUAUCUGCCGUGGGCGCUGGAGAAUUGAGGGGGGCUGCUCCUAGUACGAGAGGACCGGAGUGGACGCAUCACUGGUGUUCGGGUUGUCAUGCCAAUGGCACUGCCCGGUAGCUAAAUGCGGAAGAGAUAAGUGCUGAAAGCAUCUAAGCACGAAACUUGCCCCGAGAUGAGUUCUCCCUGAGACCUUGAGUCUCCUGAAGGAACGUUGAAGACGACGACGUUGAUAGGUCGGGUGUGUAAGCGCAGCGAUGCGUUGAGCUAACCGAUACUAAUGAACCGUGAGGCUUAACCUUACAACGCCGAAG
rnacentral:rRNA from 1 species